AAGGCUAUUUAUUACUUACUCUUUUGGUUCUCCGGUCCAUUUGACAACACUUGGUGGUCCAUAUUUGGGGCACUCAAAUUCAUAUUCCUUGGCCAAUUUUUAAUUUUUUCAUGCUGAUUUGAAGGCCAUUAAAGCAUUUGAACCAGUCUAAAAAGUUUAAGUUGUAUAUCUUUUACGGUUUUUGUGGGAAGUCGUGUUAAAGUUGAUGCCGUGGUGUUAGUAAAAUGAUACCCUUAUAAAAGCUCAGAUUUAUUUUCUGACAGAAAGCUAGAAAUAAUCCAAAAUAUCAAAAUUGUUAUACACUCAUUUUAAUGACAGUUCAUGACCUUAAAUUGCACGAGAAAUUUAUUAAACUCGGAUUCAGAGUUCCUUAUGCCUUAAAAUCCAGGUUUUACCAAUGUGGCCCAGGUUAUCACGUGUCAAAUGACUGAAAAAAAGAACACCAAUAAAAACCUGCCUCCAUUUAUAACUGACUAGAAACUUGCUUGUCGGAAGCUUUGUUCGAGGAAAUUAAAAAAAUUAUUUAUGUUUAAAUUUCUCUAAUCUCUUCACAUCACCAUUUAGCUCUAAGCUCUUUACUGUAGAAAGUAUGGAUUUUAUUUGACAAUGACGAAAACGUUGUAAGUAUUCGGUCAUCAAAAUGAGUUUAUAACAAGGUCGAUAUUUUGGUAAAUUUUUUUUUCUGUCAGAAAUUAAAUUUGGGUUUCUAUUGGGGGUAAUAGAGAUAUACUACAGUACAGUACUUACAUUCACAUUCACAUUUCACAACUACGGGAUCAGCUCACCUGGUCCAAUGAGCGGGAAACGGAGAACAAGCUCUGGAUACGUCAUAGUCACGUGACCUCAGGCUCACAAUCACGUGACCUCAGACCCAAUCAACUGACUUCUGGCCUGUCAGCUCCCUGUAAUUACAUGAUCUUGAGGUGACGUACGACACCUCGUUAACCGCAAUCAAUGUCUGGGAGGCUGCAAAUUUUCACAUGCCAAAAACGUAAGAUUCUUAAGGAGUUGUGCGAGAUGACGAUACAUAGAGGCCGCAGAAUUAUGAGGACUACCAGAUCCUCAUGGUGGAACCUAAGCGAUCCAUGAUAUCACGACAGGCCCUACAGUGAACAAUGAACAUUAUACUUUCUACACCAGCAAUACACAAUAUCCAACUCAAAAAUUACACGUCAGUGUUGAAGGGUUGGGCGAGGUCAAUCAUGAGGCAAAAUGGUGUUCGUGCAUAGCCAGGCCUUGAGGGCCGAAAGGUAAGAAGGUAUGUUUGUGUUCUCAGCUCAAGUGAGUACGCUCCUUCUUAAAUUUUAUUUAAUUUUCGUUAUUUUUUAUAAUUUGUAUUGAUACUGAGGUCGUUCUCCAUAGUUUAAUUGUUUUAUCAACAAACAUUUCUGGCCACAGUUCAUAGAGCAAUACUGUUCAUGUUUUAGAUUAUGUUAACAAUUUCUUAACCGGUGUAUCCAUAAUCUGUAUCAUCAUAUCGAUACCACCUUUCUUUCAUGCUCAUGAAAUCAAUAUAACGAUCGCAAUACAGAUAUCAAGGCGCUAUGAUGAUGAUGAUGAAGAUUGUGGUAGUAUUUCUACUCGUGGCUGGAUUUCAUGCUCAAUCACCACUGGCACUACCACCAUGUGUUGAUGCCGGCAUUCCAGGAGUGUGUAAAGUUAUGGUGGACAUUUAUAAUGGAGACUGCCUAGGAACAUACGAAGAAGAUAUGGUAAAGAAUUGCCGUAAAAGUUGCCGUCUCUGCGAUAUAGAGUAAUAGCUAAGGGUGCUCAGUCUAAUGAUGCCGUGAUCACGUGAUACUUGCUCUAACUUGCAGUAGCGCGCGACUGCAGUACGCGUAGACACAUGGCUAUGUGAUCUCGUGAUACCUGAUGGUGGAGGGUACAAGGAUCACGUGAUAUAGAGACAAUAAUUAUAGAGACAAUUAUUAGAUAGAAACAAUUAUUCAUUGUUAUCUUAAUCAAUGGGCACAAUAAGUUGAUUUCUGUAAUCAUAGCUUACAAUCUUAAAAUGUGUUUAAAACGAUUCCGUAUUAUUACACUAUACUAUUCUUCUAAACUGUAACAAUUUUCCUGUAUUUGAUGCUUUUAGCAUUUGCAUUUA